rnacentral:rRNA from 1 species
CCUACGGGAGGCUGCAGUGGGGAAUAUUGGACAAUGGGCGAAAGCCUGAUCCAGCCAUGCCGCGUGUGUGAAGAAGGCCUUCGGGUUGUAAAGCACUUUCAGUGGGGAAGAAAGCCUUGGGGCUAAUACCCUCGAGGAAGGACAUCACCCACAGAAGAAGCACCGGCUAACUCCGUGCCAGCAGCCGCGGUAAUACGGAGGGUGCGAGCGUUAAUCGGAAUUACUGGGCGUAAAGCGCGCGUAGGCGGUCUGAUAAGCCGGUUGUGAAAGCCCCGGGCUCAACCUGGGAACGGCAUCCGGAACUGUCAGGCUAGAGUGCAGGAGAGGAAGGUAGAAUUCCCGGUGUAGCGGUGAAAUGCGUAGAGAUCGGGGGGAAUACCAGUGGCGAAGGCGGCCUUCUGGACUGACACUGACGCUGAGGUGCGAAAGCGUGGGUAGCAAACAGGAUUAGAUACCCGUGUGUC